UCUUACGGGUGUAGAACGGCAUGAGGGUGAGUAAUAAAUGACAUUAUUUUCUUUUUUGGGUGAACUAACCCUUUAACUAUAAGUGCCUUACGAAGUGCACUUCACAGGGUAUUUCUUCUUAAAUCCGAAGGGAGCGAACAUGUUCUUUGUUUGACUGGAUAUUCCUGCAUUUUGUCAAGUGAAGUGAACUUCAACAGAUAUCCGUGCUCGGGGAGUAGGAAGUAGUGAACACUGCAUAGAGACCCUGUCAAUCAGAAUGCAACUAAUAUGUAUAUGUUCAGUUAGCAUCAUAAUUUCAUUGUUAUUGUAGCCCAAUUGAGUAACUUCGUUUAGUUACGUUAGUGACUUUGUUUGGUGAAGAUUUUCAGUAGUUCAACAGCUAAUGUAUUUGUCAACUUCAUUGUUUUUAUUAAAUGUUAAAUUAUAUUGUACACAUUUAAGAAGAUAUGUUCCCCAUAGCUAGUUUGCUAGCUAGCUAGCUAGCUAGCUAAUGUUUGUCUGCGUUUCACUCAAAUAGCUUCACUAUAAUUAUUUACAAUCAUGAUUAGCUUGUAGCUUGACAAGCUACAAAUUCAUAUUAGCAUCCAGCACUGUUGUUGACAUACAUAUUGUACUAACCCACUAGAAAAAUCUUUGAACUGGGGGACUCUUGUUAGUGACAUUUCUUAUAGACAGUAACGCUUUCACUAACACUUUUGCCUGCAAUGAUCUUUUGUGGAAGUGGUUGUCACAUUUGGUCAGAUGCUGUUGCGCACGAGACCACGCUGGCAGCCCGCCUGGAUGAUGGGAUGACAGUGUUUCGUACGCAAACCUUUAUCCAACAAGCUGGCAAGAGUACGUCAGGCUGGCGUGGGAUGUAUGCUGUCUGUAUCAGAUCUGUCUCGCCGCUGCGAUCUCACAGUCAGAUUAACUGGAAGGAUGUUUAUGUCUGUUUAUAUGGUUAGGCUCUUUAGCUUUUGUGGUUGAAUUUGACAUGAGAUGUGAGGUGAAUCUGAGCUACUGCUAAGUAUGCUAAGUUGAAUCACUACUGUUUAUAAAUCGCCCUUGCUCAAAUAACUUCUUGAACAUUUUUUCAAAGCUACAUGUACAAAUUGGGAGUACAUGUACGUUAAUUUAACAUAGCUAAAAACAGGCAGGGGAUUAUGUUGCCCUUUUGGGAGUUAGUAUUAUGCUAGUUAUAUUAUACUCUGCAAACAUUAACAUGGUAACAUGUCCGCCUACAUUUUACAUUUUAUGUGGUAAAAAAAGCUAUAUUUAGCAUGUUACUCUGUGCUAUUGCUAAGCUAGUAGUUAACUGCAAGAGUUGGUUCCACAUGCCUAAACUUUAUUGGUUUCAUGUUGAGAAUGUUAUUGCUUAAUGUUCUGUUAUCUUGCCAUUUUGGGAGAUAACAUUAUGCUAGUUAGAUUAUACUGUAUAUUGUUACAUAAUAUGUUGUAAAAACUGUUAUAUUUGGCAUGCUAAUAUACGCUAAUGCUAUCUAAGCUAAUAGUUAACUGCAGGUGAUUCAUUUGAGCUUUUUUUAAAUGAUUAAACUGUAAAAGAUU